AAAAAGACAAACCCUGGGUUUCCGUGUUCAACGUUUGACUGUCCGUCUUAUAUGAAAUUUUUUUAUAAUUAGUAUUUUCAUUGUUGUUAGAUGAUAAAACAUGAUUAAUACUUUAUGCGUGAUUUAUAUUUUUAAUUUUUUCAUAUUUUUUUUAAAUAAGACGGAUGGUCAAACAUUGGACACGGAAAG
rfam:Oryza glaberrima chromosome 8 Oglab08_0190_2, whole genome shotgun sequence.